rnacentral:lncRNA from 1 species
UGCCAUACCUUGCUUCUAGCAAAGCAACAUAUCCACUGAAGUUCAACAUUCCAGCUGCAUAUUGUUCUAUUAUAUCCCAGCCAAUAGCAAAUUCUUUGCCAAAGAUUCCUAGUAACUGGACAGGUGAAGUAAAGAUGGCCAAACUCUUCUACAGCUUGAUGACAGAACACACACUGCUCCUCCACACUAACUCCAAAUUUCAAUAGUCUAUCAACAGUGGGAAGUCGACCCUGAGUAGCUAACCAUGUAGUGAACAGAUGCCUUGG